rnacentral:misc_RNA from 1 species
UUUCCGUAGGUGAACCUGCGGAAGGAUCAUUAAUGAUUGACCGUCUGUCGAGCUUGCUCACAGGCACAUCAUAUCCAUAACACCUGUGCACUUGUCGGAUGGUUUAGUGAAGACCGCAAGGUUGGAUCUAUCCAUCUACUUUACAUAACAAUUCUGUAACAAAUGUAGUCUUAUUAUAACAUAAUAAAACUUUCAACAACGGAUCUCUUGGCUCUC